GGAGUGAAGGUGAUCUGGCUGCAACAUCUUCGAAUCGCCAGGGUUGUUUCGGCUCAUCAGGCUGACUAGGCGGGUGUCCCCUUCCUCCCUCACCGCUCCAUGUGUGUCCCUCCCGAAGCCGUGUGCUUGGUCAAAGAGGACGGCCUUGGGUCGAGAGUAUCUGAGUAGCUGUGUUCCCCUGAGAGAACCUCCAAAGAAGCUCUCAAAAAAAAAAAUGAAGAAGACAGAAAUAAGGAAGGAAGGAAGA
rnacentral:snRNA from 1 species